GUUCUUUGUGCCGUGGCAAAAAAGUAUGAGCGAACUCCAGCACUGAUUGCCCUUCGCUACCAGGUACAGCGUGGGGUUGUGGUCCUGGCCAAGAGUUACAAUGAGAAGCGGAUCAAAGAGAACAUGCAGGUUUUUGAAUUCCAGUUGACUUCAGAGGACAUGAAAGUCCUAGAUGGCCUAAACC